rnacentral:lncRNA from 1 species
CCCGAAGAAGGCGCCGAUCGACGAUCCCGCGGAGGCAGCGUGCCGCGGGACGCCGCCCGCGCCGGACACCUGGUAGCUCGGCAGCGGCAUCGUCGUCGCCGUCGUCGGCGUGGUCGGUGUCGCUGGCAUGACGGCCGCCAUUCUUGGUCGCACCGAGACACUGCGCGCACGGUUGUGGGUGGUGAAUGCGCGGCGCUUGGCUUGAGCUGAGGAUGGAGGCAAUGCCGAUGCCCAUGAGGUGAGCAUGGAUGGGUGGGGCAGCGAGGGGGGCAAAAGUGUCACUUGCUUUUUGCAAAUUUAGUACUAGUAUUAGUGGCACUAAUGCUUGACAUUGUAGUGGUGGUGAUGGAUGGAGGAGAGGAUAGGUGAGGAAGAAAACUAAGCUAAAGAGAGGGAAAAAUGAAUAAAGGGUUUGGAGGUCAGCUUUAGUGUGUGUGUGUGUGUGUGUGUGUGGAAGGACUACAGAGUGGGCACCAACAUGGAAAGAAAAGGAGAAAGAAGCAUGAUGGGGGCUCUCAUUCUCAUGCAAUGUUGCUUGAUGGCGUCUCUCAGUGUGUGUGUAUCUAGGAAAAGGGAAAGAACAUCUCUGAUCUGAUCUGCUCCAGGACUGUGCAUGCCAAUAACAAUAUAAUUGGAUGGAGAACGAUCAAAGAGACACAGAGGAACCAUCUUCUUAAAGUUUAUUUCAUCCCAACUGUGAGUCAAUGUUUGAAUUCUGGAGUCUGG